rnacentral:rRNA from 1 species
UACGGGGGGGGCAAGCGUUGUUCGGAAUUACUGGGCGUAAAGGGCUCGUAGGUGGCCAACUAAGUCGGACGUGAAAUCCCUCGGCUUAACCGGGGAACUGCGUCCGAUACUGGAUGGCUAGAGUUUGGGAGAGGUGAGUGGAACUGCGAGUGUAGAGGUGAAAUUCGUAGAUAUUCGCAAGAACACCAGUGGCGAAGGCGGCUCACUGGCCCGAUACUGACGCUGAGGCACGAAAGCGUGGGGAGCAAACAGG